ACAGACCUGAGCCUCGUGUUUGUUCCCAUUAACCUGCAGCAGCUCCCUGCUCGUUCCCAGAAACCGUUGCCUCUCUGCUGCGGGCUGUCUGCACGCUCACGCACACACGGAUUCGUGGAAGGUGCGUGUUUCUCAGUGACGGGGUUUAGUGUCUCUGGUCGGGCUUCGGAGAAAAUCCCUGCAGAGCUUCUGCACAGCUCGGAUACAGUUUACCUCCAAAGAUCUGUCCAGGAAGGAGCUUCCACUCAAAUGCCACCAGCAACCCGGGCUCUAUAAAGGGUCACCAACCCAAAACUGGGGGUCCACGAAGACCUGAAACACAAGAGCAGAGGAUCCCUACCUGUACCUGUAUGCAAAUCCUGCAGCGCCCCCGGAGGACUCGCACCGUGACCCAGAGAGUCCCUGCAGGCCUCAAACACAAAAGCAGGAACAAGUAGGGGACACAGCACUGAUAUAUCAUCACCUUCAACUCGUGAUCAACCAGCCGUUUAUCUCCACGUCCAGCAGCUACAGAGCAACAUGAUCCUUCAUCUGGAUCUGGUGUCUGUCCCACCUGGUGAAUCUAAGUCCAGCACUCCCUCUCUUUUAGCUCUGGUUUUGGUCUCCACCAGCUCCCGAAGGAAACAUCUGGCUCUUUAGCUGCUAAAUGCUCCACCGUGUUCACCAGCUGGUCUCUGACUGUGUCCGUCUGCUGUUUGCUGCUGACCAGGUUGUGGACGGUGGCUGUUUACAGCUGUUUCACCGAAAACAUCGCUGCGAGAGCGGCGAGAGUGAACCGGAGCAGUAAACGGUAAAAACUAGGCUAAUUUUGUGAUGGGGCAGGAUUGAGGCUUUGAAAUUAGGUUAGUCAAAUCUGGUGACACUGACAUGUACAUGUGUGUAUCAUAUACCACACACAUGCAUGCA